rnacentral:lncRNA from 1 species
UUUAUAAAUAAAACACACAUUACAUAAAAGCCAAGUUUCACCAAUGAGCUGAAAUGAGACAGUAUCAACCAAAUUUCAGCAACAUUGCUAAUACAAUUACUUUAAAAACAAAUAUCACGAAGACCAUCCCCACUAAGACUUUCAACCACUUUUCCAACAUAACUAAAGUUUUCUCUACAAAAGCCAUUAUCAUCUUUUCACCAUAUUUUUCUUCCAUCUGUAGCACACUGUGUUCCAUGCUCAUCACACCCACUUCUUCAUUUCUUACACUUCCACUUCUUUCUUCUACAUUCAGUCCAUCUCCUUCAUUUCCUUCUUCAAUGCACCACUAAAAGAAGUUACAGCCAAGCAAAUCUUCACUCCCACCCUAUUAAAGAAGAAGAAUCACUCCUUCAUCAAAACCUAAAU